AGAGUUUGAUCAUGGCUCAGAUUGAACGCUGGCGGCAGGCCUAACACAUGCAAGUCGAGCGGAUGAGUGGAGCUUGCUCCAUGAUUCAGCGGCGGACGGGUGAGUAAUGCCUAGGAAUCUGCCUGGUAGUGGGGGACAACGUUUCGAAAGGAACGCUAAUACCGCAUACGUCCUACGGGAGAAAGUGGGGGAUCUUCGGACCUCGCGCUAUCAGAUGAGCCUAGGUCGGAUUAGCUAGUUGGUGAGGUAAAGGCUCACCAAGGCGACGAUCCGUAACUGGUCUGAGAGGAUGAUCAGUCACACUGGAGCUGAGACACGGUCCAGACUCCUACGGGAGGCAGCAGUGGGGAAUAUUGGACAAUGGGCGAAAGCCUGAUCCAGCCAUGCCGCGUGUGUGAAGAAGGUCUUCGGAUUGUAAAGCACUUUAAGUUGGGAGGAAGGGCAGUAAGUUAAUACCUUGCUGUUUUGACGUUACCAACAGAAUAAGCACCGGCUAACUUCGUGCCAGCAGCCGCGGUAAUACGAAGGGUGCAAGCGUUAAUCGGAAUUACUGGGCGUAAAGCGCGCGUAGGUGGUUCGUUAAGUUGGAUGUGAAAGCCCCGGGCUCAACCUGGGAACUGCAUCCAAAACUGGCGAGCUAGAGUAUGGCAGAGGGUGGUGGAAUUUCCUGUGUAGCGGUGAAAUGCGUAGAUAUAGGAAGGAACACCAGUGGCGAAGGCGACCACCUGGGCUAAUACUGACACUGAGGUGCGAAAGCGUGGGGAGCAAACUAGGAUUAGAUACCCUGGUAGUC
rnacentral:rRNA from 1 species